UUGGCCGGACAAAACAAGGCAGACUCUUCUCUCUUUCAUGUUACUUGAUUUCCCCCAAUUCAAACAAUUCCUAAUUUCUAUCGAUCUGUAACCGACGAUCAUGUUACCUAUUCUACCAUUCUCAUCUAACUCAUUAUUCAUAAAAUAAUAAUUUCUAAAUUACAAUUCAAUUUUUUGAAUUUCAGAAAUUCACCUAUCUUCUUUCUCCCACUUGCGAAUCUUAGAUCCACUUUUCUCUUUUCAUGAACUCCUCUGUAAUCCUAAACUUGUGAACGCUUCCAUAUCUUCUUCAUCAAUUGUCGAAGAACACCAGAGAAUCCAGAGACCCUACCGCUUGUUUGAUUCUGCAACCUCCUCCCCACCUGUUCGGUUUUCAUCAUAUUUCUCCAAAAAAUUUUAGAUCUGCUUUCUCCAAUUCUUCUUUAACCGGCUUUCAUCAUAUUUCUCCAAUUUCCUUUUUAGAUCUGCUGUCUCCAAUUCUCUCUAACCCUAAUUUCACAAAACCCUCUCCGCCUUCUUCCUCAUUUGUCGAAGAACAUGUGAAGAUUGCAGAGGACAAAACGCCACCACAAAACGAAAUUGGAGGUACAUCUCAAGCGGACAUUCAUCUUCCUACAAGAUUACUCUUCCUCCAAGAUUACUCAACUGACAGAUUUCCCUAAAAGCUUCUCAACAAAUACUCCGCACCGGAUCUUCUCCCGUGUUCAUUCGCAAUCUCCCAUGUUCUCAACCCUAUCAUCCACACACCUACUGUCCACAAUUCCAGUGACCACAACACAUCCAGUGUCCACACAUCUCCUGACCACAGCAGCCCCAUUGGUCAUGGCCACAAUUCCAGUGACCACAACACAUCCAUUGUCUGUUUUUUUUCUAAACAGGAAAGAAAGAAAUAUGUUAGUGUCUACAUAAGCUCAUGUCCACAUUUGUUCACUUACAUGAAUUCGUGCUACAAUUGUUUCAUCCACAUCUUUUGUGUACACAUAUAUCUCAUCCACAUAUUCCAUU